rnacentral:pre_miRNA from 1 species
UUAACUCAAUUUGUAUGGAGUUGGAUCGUUGGCCUACGUUUGCCACUAGGGGCGCUGUUCCAACUACAUAUGCAACUUUAUGCA